CGGAGGAUCCAAGCGUUAUCCGGAUUCAUUGGGCUUAAAGGGUGCGUAGGCGGAAUGAUAAGUCAGUGGUGAAAGCCUGCAGCUUAACUGCAGAACUGCCAUUGAUACUGUCAAUCUUGAGUACAUUUGAUGUGGGCGGAAUGUGUCAUGUAGCGGUGAAAUGCUUAGAUAUGACACAGAACACCGAUUGCGAAGGCAGCUCACAAAACUGUAACUGACGCUGAGGCACGAAAGCGUGGGUAUCAAACAGGAUUAGAUACCCUGGUAGUCCACGCUGUAAACUAUGAUCACUCGAUGUUUGCGAUAUACUGUAAGCGUCUAAGCGAAAGCGAUAAGUGAUCCACCUGGGGAGUACGCCGGCAACGGUG
rnacentral:rRNA from 1 species